AUACGUAGGGGGCAAGCGUUGUCCGGACUUACUGGGCGUAAAGCGCACGCAGGCUGACUUAUAAGUCGGUAGUCUAAUGCGGAGGCUCAACUUCCGUUUAUCUAUCGAUACUGUAAGACUAGAGUAUGUGAGAGGGAAGUGGAAUUCCCGGUGUCGCGGUGAAAUGCGUAGAUAUCGGGAGGAACACCAGUGGCGAAGGCGACUUCCUGGCACAAUACUGACGCUCAUGUGCGAAAGCUAGGGUAGCGAACGGGAUUAGAUACCCCGGUAGUCCUAGCCGUAAACGAUGGAUACUAGGUGUGGGUGUCGCAGGGCAUCCGUGCCGCAGCUAACGCGUUAAGUAUCCCGCCUGGGGACUACGGUCGCAAGACUGAAACUCAAAGGAAUUGACGGGG
rnacentral:rRNA from 1 species